UACGGUGGGGGCAAGCGUUGUUCGGAAUUACUGGGCGUAAAGGGCUCGUAGGCGGCCAACUAAGUCGGAUGUGAAAUCCCCAGGCUCAACCUGGGAACUGCGUCCGAUACUGGAUGGCUUGAAUCCGGGAGAGGGAUGCAGAAUUCCAGGUGUAGCGGUGAAAUGCGUAGAUAUCUGGAGGAAUACCGGUGGCGAAGGCGGCAUCCUGGACCGGCAUUGACGCUGAGGAGCGAAAGCCAGGGGAGCAAACGGG
rnacentral:rRNA from 1 species